UGGAUGUCGCCUGGUGCUCUUCAGCUCCGUAGUGUUGUUGCGACAAAUUAUUGUUUUUACCUGGCUUAAUAUGGUCUUUUUCACAUCGAGCCCAUGAAUGCAACCGACAUUAUAAAACAGUUUGAGGGACUAAAUUCAUUCGAGGUUGGUUAGGAAGUCCGAAGACGUCGGCGGAGGCCUCAAGAAGAGUUAUCUUUUCUAUUUAACAGCCCGCCCACCCUGGAAACGACCCAGUCGGAGAUAGGGUCUAGCAGCUGGAAGAGCAGCGCACGUUGCAUGGUGUCGAUGCGCCCCCGACCCUCAAAUAUUCAGAGGACCGAGUGUCGUCCAUGCCCGGUCGUACUCAUAAUCGCAUCGGGUAUCCAAGGUGAACAACCUCU
rnacentral:rRNA from 1 species